CAGUGAAUUACGGGGCAGUUCUUCUUUGGCACAAAGCUAGCUAAGCACGCGGUUCAGAUAACUUGCGCAUGCGUACGUGCCAAAGGAGAAUUGCCCUGCGAUUCGCCU
rnacentral:pre_miRNA from 1 species